rnacentral:rRNA from 1 species
ACGGGUGAGUAACGCGUGGGUAACCUGCCCUUAUAACGGGGAUAACUUGCCGAAAGGUGAGCUAAUACCGGAUGACCUAUUAAGGUUGCAUGAUCUUGAUAGCAAAGGUGGCCUCUUCUAAGCUACCGUAUAAGGAUGGACCCGCGUCUGAUUAGCUAGUUGGUGGGGUAACGGCCUACCAAGGCGACGAUCAGUAGCCGGCCUGAGAGGGUGAACGGCCACACUGGGACUGAGGCACGGCCCAGACUCCUACGGGAGGCAGCAGUGGGGAAUCUUCCGCAAUGGACGAAAGUCUGACGGAGCAACGCCGCGUGAGUGACGAAGGUCUUCGGAUUGUAAAACUCUGUUUUUUGGGACGAACGGCUCAUAUGUGAAUAAUGUAUGGGAUUGACGGUACCAAAGGAGGAAGCCCCGGCUAACUACGUGCCAGCAGCCGCGGUAAUACGUAGGGGGCGAGCGUUGUCCGGAAUUAUUGGGCGUAAAGAGCGCGCAGGCGGUUUGUUAAGUCUACCGUGAAAGCUUACGGCUCAACCGUAACGGGUCGGUGGAUACUGGCAGACUUGAGGGCAGGAGAGGAAAGUGG